rnacentral:tRNA from 1 species
GCGUCCGUAGCUCAGUCGGAUAGAGCAACGGCCUUCUAAGCCGUGGGUCGCAGGUUCGAAUCCUGCCGGACGCG